rnacentral:misc_RNA from 1 species
GAUGAAGAACGUAGCGAAAUGCGAUACGUAAUGUGAAUUGCAGAAUUCAGUGAAUCAUCGAGUCUUUGAACGCACAUUGCGCCCCCUGGUAUUCCGGGGGGCAUGCCUGUCCGAGCGUCAUUGCUGCCCUCAAGCACGGCUUGUGUGUUGGGCCUCCGUCCUCCUCCCGGGGGACGGGCCCGAAAGGCAGCGGCGGCACCGCGUCCGGUCCUCGAGCGUAUGGGGCUUCGUCACCCGCUCUUGUAGGCCCGGCCGGCGCUUGCCGACACAUCAAUCUUUUUUCCAGGUUGACCUCGGAUCAGGUAGGGAUACCCGCUGAACUUAAGGAUAUCAAUAAGCGGAGGA